rnacentral:rRNA from 1 species
UGGGGAAUAUUGGACAAUGGACCAAGAGUCUGAUCCAGCAAUUCUGUGUGCACGAUGAAGUUUUUCGGAAUGUAAAGUGCUUUCAGUUGGGAAGAAAAAAAUGACGGUACCAACAGAAGAAGUGACGGCUAAAUACGUGCCAGCAGCCGCGGUAAUACGUAUGUCACAAGCGUUAUCCGGAUUUAUUGGGCGUAAAGCGCGUCUAGGUGGUUAUGUAAGUCUGAUGUGAAAAUGCAGGGCUCAACUCUGUAUUGCGUUGGAAACUGUGUAACUAGAGUACUGGAGAGGUAAGCGGAACUACAAGUGUAGAGGUGAAAUUCGUAGAUAUUUGUAGGAAUGCCGAUGGGGAAGCCAGCUUACUGGACAGAUACUGACGCUGAAGCGCGAAAGCGUGGGUAGCAAACA